rnacentral:rRNA from 1 species
UGGGGAAUAUUGCACAAUGGGCGCAAGCCUGAUGCAGCCAUGCCGCGUGUAUGAAGAAGGCCUUCGGGUUGUAAAGUACUUUCAGUCGGGAGGAAGGUGUCAAGGUUAAUAACCUUGGCAAUUGACGUUACCGACAGAAGAAGCACCGGCUAACUCCGUGCCAGCAGCCGCGGUAAUACGGAGGGUGCAAGCGUUAAUCGGAAUUACUGGGCGUAAAGCGCACGCAGGCGGUUGAUUGAGUCAGAUGUGAAAUCCCCGGGCUUAACCCGGGAAUUGCAUCUGAUACUGGUCAGCUGGAGUCUUGUAGAGGGGGGUAGAAUUCCAUGUGUAGCGGUGAAAUGCGUAGAGAUGUGGAGGAAUACCGGUGGCGAAGGCGGCCCCCUGGACAAAGACUGACGCUCAGGUGCGAAAGCGUGGGGAGCAAACAGG